CCGUUUUCUACAGAUUCUAAAAGGAAAACGCGCAUUUCUUACGCGAGAGCAAAAGAACUCCCCAGGGUUUCUUCUUUCCUUCCUAGCUCUGUGCGGAGUGCAAUAAGUAAAUCCCUCCCAGAUUGCCUCGAGGCCGGGCAUUUACGCAACUUGAAAAUAGGGCUAGGAGAGCAAAUAGUGUCUUAAACCGAAAUCCUUUCCGAAGUCGGCCACUACAUCGACUCACCCCGGCUAGGCUCAACUGUAAAUUGCCUACCUAGCAACCCGGUGAGUGACAUGCAAACUGAUGGCAAGGAUCCAGAGCGCGCGCCCGGACCACCGCGGAGGGCUGGGGGCAGAUCCCCGAGCCCUCUAGCUGGGUCCGGGGCUCGCGCGUGCGUACGAGCGAGCUAGCGAGGGGCUCCGGGCGCGGCGCGUGGUCUGCGCGCGCCCGGCCGUGCGUGUGGCUGCGGGAGGCUGCGUGUGCGCGCAGGGAGGGACAGUCCGCCUCCCGCCCGCGUCGGAGCAGGGUGCGCGCCCUGCGCUGGAGGUGAGUGUGGGCAGGGUCUCUAGGGAGGCGCGGAAGCCUUGGAGAGCACACCCUCCCGCCCCGACUCCCCGGGCUGGGUGGCGGGCGUGGCCCUAGGGCCCGCUCCUUUCGCGCCGCGCCCUCUUCAGGGACACCCGGGCCGGGGCGGCUCGGCUGGGAGGCGGGCAGGGCGGUGCCCCCUACUCCUCAGGCCCUCUCCCGGAGCGCGGCUGGGGUGGAACCGCGAUCAGCCGAGCCCUGGGGCUCUGGCCUCCGCGACGUUCAGCUGCCCCACCGGAGUUAAGGAAGAUUUGAGUUUGCAGUCCUCAGCUGGGAACGGCUUUGUGUUUGGCCCUUUUUCCCCCAGGCGGCUUAGACAGAGUAGUUCAUGGCAAAUCUUGUAAUUAAAGCAUGGAAUAUGGAAAACAAAACACUUCAGCUGGUACUUUAGUCUCAUGUGAAAUUCUACAGGUAAGCCCAUCUUAUUUUAAUUGAGAAAUUAUCCAUAUUGGUUAAAAUUGCAUAUAAUAGUCUCCUUUAUAAGAUUUUAAGGAUCAUUUAUGCAGCUGCAAGUUUUGUUGUAUAUUCUACUAUAUUUCUUUCCCUAAAAGAUUCGAGGAGUUGAAAGAGUUAAGCUCAAUUAAACCAUUUAAGAUUAUAUAAAGAUAUAUGUAUGUGUGUAUAUAUAUAUGUAUAAUCAUCAUAAAACACCAUGGUAUCUCAGGAAAACAUAGCUAUAUAUACUACAUUUAGUGAUCAUAUUCAACUCAAGAUCAGACUCAACUCUCUUUUUCCCUAAAAAAAUACUCAAUUGAAUAUUUCUCUCUUUUUCUUCCCUUUCACAUGAUUUGCCUUGUCUCUGUGUCCAGUCUCCAGCUCUGUUCUGUUCACUAUUGGAUAAUACAGGUAUAACCCUGUUUUAGGAAAUGCCUUUAUCCCUUCUGCCACCAUAUAUAAUGUCCAAGCCAAAUACGCUUUUCUGUUGCAUCUCUAACAGCUAUCGUCGCUCAUGCCUGCUCACUGUGUAGUAGGUACCCAAGCUACAACUUCAUGAAUGAGAUUCACAAUGGGAGAGUCAAACAGGGUGCUUUUAAAUGGCCUGGCACAACAGAUUCAAGAGUUGCAAUCUGUUUAAUAGGCUCUUUGGCAAAUAUCUUUUUUGUGACUAUGAGCAUUGAUUUUGUCUUAGUACAUUGCUGCAUAUAAUAAAUAUUGAUUUGCUUUUGCA
ensembl:lncRNA